CACUAGGCAGCCCAAUGUUAUGGUUGUCGCACAUGCGAGGCAUUGUAUAGUUGUAUUAUUUCCUAAUAAUAAUGGAAAUAAUACAAUACAAUGCCUCGCCUGCGCACAGGCAGGCAACCAUAACAUUUGGCUGCCUAUGGUA